GGGAAAGAUCUUACCCUCCACUUCCCUUGUCGAGGGGGCUUUAAUGUUGAGGGCAAUCAAAACUAAGUGGAAGUUUUAAGGGGGGAGAAAUGGGACGGGCCCCAAGUAAGAUCGGGAGCUUACUUGAAACCGAGGGCCAAAUCGGAGGUUGACUGUCCGGCGGAUCUGGCGGCUUGAGGGCGGGUCCGCCACAGACACCUUUGCUGUGUGGGAAGGUUAUGAAAAGAAGGUUCCUGAGGAGCUGACCUGAAUGACCAUCAUGGCCUCGAUCUGUUGUGCCUAUAUAUUUAUUCUUUGCAAAAUGCAAUGAAUAUUUACAGAGCUGACCAUGGCCGUUUGAGAAUCAGAGGGAUGGAAAGGCAAUGAAGUGACUUGGCCUACAGGUCUUUUGUGAGCAGAUGCUUGGGUUUCCUUAGAAGAAGCAUCCGUGUCAUGAUCCCCUCGUGUGUGGUGCUACGCAUAUGGAGGGAGCAUCCGGAUACUUCAGGGCAGUAUUCAGACCCCUUGUCGACUGAACCGUGACUCAUGUUCAGCAACAGCAUCCUCUAUGGAAGGUCUGUCAAGCUGAGCACACAAGUCCUGGGGCACAGGAAUCCGCUGGACGGCAUCCCAAUCAGGUAGAGGGUCUUUGAUGAUCCCUGUCUUUGAGGACAAGAAAGAGGACUUUUGGAUAUUGGAUACUGUAAUACAGUGCAUUGUAGGCUGUAUACUGUACAAUAAACAAAUUGUAUGGCCCUGAACAUUGUGUUUUGUUUACAGUACUGAUGUGACACAAGUAGCAUCAGGUCUAAGUCAGCCUGUUGUGUGUGAAUCGAUAAGUUCUUUUUAGUGCCUAUACUGUUACACAUUUUGACUUGUUGUUUGUAA